rnacentral:rRNA from 1 species
AGCAGCCGCGGUAAUUCCAGCUCCAAUAGCGUAUAUUAAAGUUGUUGCAGUUAAAAAGCUCGUAGUUGAAUUUCGGGGUCAGUAGAUUGGUCGUGCCACUGGUAUGUACUGGUCUCACUGAUUCCUCCUUCCUGAUGAACCGUAAUGCCAUUAAUUUGGUGUUGCGGGGAAUCUGGACUGUUACUUUGAAAAAAUUAGAGUGUUUAAAGCAGGCUAACGCUUGAAUACAUUAGCAUGGAAUAAUGGAAUAGGACGUUCGAUCCUAUUUUGUUGGUUUCUAGGAUUGACGUAAUGAUUAAUAGGGAUAGUUGGGGGCAUUAGUAUUCAAUUGUCAGAGGUGAAAUUCUUGGAUUUAUUGAAGACUAACUACUGCGAAAGCAUUUGCCAAGGAUGUUUUCAUUAAUCAAGAACGAAAGUUAGGGGAUCGAAGACGAUCAGAUACCGUCGUAG